UCCCUCCUUCCUCCCUCUCUCUUCCCCCUUCCUUCCUUCCUUCCUUCCUUCCAUUUAUUAUGUUUUUCAACCAUUAAGUACCACCUAUUCUAUGCCAGGCAUUAUUCUAGGCCCUGAGGUUAUGACAAGACAGCAGUGGCCCUGGGUAUGAAUAAUAAACAAGUGAAUAAUAAAAAGCUAACAAGUUCUAGAAAAGAAGCCCACUGAGUGUUGUUUUCUGUUGGAGGACAAUAGCUGGGAGCAAGUAGGGCAGAUCUUCAUUGCCUCGAGUGGCCAUUGGAGGCCUUUCUGAGGAGAGGGGAGAAAAAGCCAGCGAUACGAGAAGCAGGCAAAGCAUCCUCGAGGCAGGGGUAACAGCUGAGCACAGGCCUCGGGUGGGGGCUGCGUGUGCUCUAGACAUCCCGCCGGGCCCCCUCACCCUCCUUCGUUUUCUGUCCGUCUGCCUCGCCUUCCCAGUCUCGCCGAUGACUUGAUUUCUGUCCCGUUUUGGCUCCUGGCUCACUUCGUCUGAGCCUGGCCUGUGUCUUCCUGACUCUUGUCUUCCCCCACCCAAGUGGCUCAGGGCCCCCGAGUCGGCACUGCCCUUUCUCAGCCGUCGUCUCCCGUCCUGAGUGCCGGUGCCGUCUCUCUCCCUUUCUCGCUCUGUCUCCACUGACUUCAGCUCCGUCUAUCUCCCCUGUCCCACUCCCCUGCCACGUCUCUCCUGUUCCAGAGCAGAGGCCACCGCGAAGCCCGUCUGACUGAUAUUGCUACUGACAGCUUAAAGCCCCGAAAUCUUCCCACAGGGCAUCUCUGGGAGGUGUUAAGCUGGCAGUGUUUUGUCUGCACCCGGAGAAAGACAGGGGUUUUUAAACAAAUAUAUACAUUCUCCAAAAUCCCAGCGAUUGUAUUUCUCCAUUGAUCCGUUAUGACGUUGAAUUCCUCUUCCCCAUUGGACCGUGAACUUGGUAGAAACAGCGACCCAGAGGAGCUCCGGGUCCCCAGCGGCCGUCCCCCCAGCCCGUAUCCCGUCUGGCAGGGCCAGUUUCCAGUGAAACGCUCAUUCGGGGGUCUCUGCAGGGAACACAUGGCAGAUGGCAUUUAGUGGACUUUGGGAAAACGCCUCAGUUUCCCCAUCUCUGAAAUAAAGGGGUCAGUGAACCGUGCAGUCAGAGUACUUGGUACACGGUGAAAAUGCUCAGUAAUGUGAGCUCCUGUGACUCUUAGGACCAUCACCUUUGUAUCACUGCCAUCAGGGACACCGUCACCCUCUCCAGGCCUGGGCGACAUGCAGAUGAUUGGCCACAGAAUCCUCGUGCUGCGUUAUGAAAGGAUAGAAGACGGUGAUUUUGGGUGCAAAAGGCUAGUCGUGACCUGUGUGAGCUCUUUCUUUCUUUCUUUCUUUCUUUCUAAAUUCUCCCAACUAUGUUCUUUUACACCCUGUGUCCCUGCCGUGAGAUAUUUGAAGAUUUCGGGGACCAGAGCUUGGUCGCAUCAGAGUGUUAACUCUUCUCUUUUCUCUCUGUGUGUCUGCUCUCUCUGGAAAGAUCUUUCUGUGGUGAGGCUUCUCCCCUACCUCCAGGUUGGCUCAGUGCCUGAUUCCAGGCCCUCACAGGCCUUGGACCGAGCUAGGCAACCCCCUUCAAGUUUCCCUACCUGCUGAGUCCCUGCUCUGUCUGCCCAUUUGAGCAGUGUUUUGGAGGUGCUCAAUUUAUUUUAUUCCAGAACUUUUUACCACUUCUCUGUGAGUCUUAGCGUCCCCAAGGAUAGAAUGGGAGUAUCUUAUAGCUUGAAUGUCAAAAUGAAGUGAGAUGGUGACUGAGAUACACUGUGUCCCAACAGUCAGCAAAUCUCAGUGCUCUGUCCUCACCUGAGUGUGAACUCUCCAAGGGCAAAAGCUCUCAGAUUCAUCUUCAGAGAUCUACAACUGGGACGUCCAAUAUGGUAGCUGUGGACCACGUGUGGCUGUUGAGCACUUGAACUGUGGCUAGUCCGGCCGAGCUGAGCUGCAGGUAUGAAAUGCACGCUGGGUUUUGAAAGCCUAGGAUGAAAAGAAAGAUGUCAAAUAACUGGUGAAUGUUUUUAUCUUGACGACAUGUUGAAAUGAUCAUACGUUGGAUAUACGGAGUUAAAAUAAAAUGGAUGACGAUGUCAGUAAAUAGGAUUUAUAUUUUGUAUGAAAAUAAAUAUGUGACGUAUGUUAAAAGACUUACACCAUUCCAUAACAACAAUAAUUAUUAAAGAAUGUAAUUAUUA